rnacentral:sRNA from 1 species
GGAUUCCUACGGCGUCACUUUCGCAAUCAUCGUGCUGGGCAUGCUCUUCAUCGGCACGGGUUUCACCAAGCGCGACACGCCGUUCGGCCUGUUCCUCAUGUGGGUCGGGGUGAUCUGCAUGCUGGCCAUCAUCAGCUACCGCAUCUAUAUCGCCACCCAUUACUGAAGCGCCACCCGCGCCUGCAAUGGCGGGCGCGGAGGUCCGCCGCUCAGUCGCGCGUCUCGCCCAUGGCCCGGGCAUAGCCGGACGGGGCGAAGCGCAGGGUCACCAGCAACAUCGCCACCACGCUCGCCGCGAGCAGCAGCCAGGAGGCCUGGAAGCUGCCGGUGACGUCGCGCAGCCAGCCGGUCAGGUAGGGCACGAUGCCGGUGAUGAUGAAGCCGAUGCCUUGCACGAAGGCCGCCAGGCUUCCCGCCGCACGCGGCUCGUGGAGGUGGUCGAGGGUCAGGGUCAGGCUGAGGGCGAAGCAGGCGCCCAGGCCGUAGCCGAUCAACGCCACCCACAGCGCCGCGUGCUGCAGCGGCAUCAGCAGCAGGCCGCAGAAGCCGCCGAGCUGGACCAGCAGCGCGGCCAGCAGCCAGGGCCGGCGGUCGAGGCGGCGGCGAAUCAGCAGCGGCACG